rnacentral:rRNA from 1 species
CCCGGGCCUUGUACACACCGCCCGUCACACCAUGGGAGUUGGUUUUACCCGAAGCCGGUGCGCCAACCUGGUAACAGGAGGUAGCCGACCACGGUAAGGUCAGCGACUGGGGUG